rnacentral:rRNA from 1 species
UGGGGAAUCUUCCGCAAUGGGCGCAAGCCUGACGGAGCAACGCCGCGUGAGUGAAGAAGGUCUUCGGAUCGUAAAGCUCUGUUGACGGGGACGAACGUAUAGAGUGCGAAUAGCGCUUUGUAAUGACGGUACCUGUCGAGGAAGCCACGGCUAACUACGUGCCAGCAGCCGCGGUAAUACGUAGGUGGCGAGCGUUGUCCGGAAUCAUUGGGCGUAAAGGGAGCGCAGGCGGGCCGGUAAGUCUUACUUAAAAGUGCGGGGCUCAACCCCGUGAUGGGAGAGAAACUAUCGGUCUUGAGUACAGGAGAGGAAAGCGGAAUUCCCAGUGUAGCGGUGAAAUGCGUAGAUAUUGGGAAGAACACCAGUGGCGAAGGCGGCUUUCUGGACUGCAACUGACGCUGAGGCUCGAAAGCCAGGGGAGCGAACGGGAUUAGAUACCCCGGUAGUCCUGGCCGUAAACGAUGGAUACUAGGUGUGGGAGGUAUCGACCCCUACCGUGCCGGAGUUAACGCAAUAAGUAUCCCGCCUGGGGAGUACGGCCGCAAGGCUG